AACAAACACACAGCAAUAUGCAAAGUAAAAAGAAGUCCGGAACCGAUCUUAGAAUAGGUAACACAAGAAUAUUUUAAGACACGUUCGAAAGGCGGCUAUUGUGAUUGUGUCAGCUCGACAGGGACACAUUCAAAUGUCUGAAUGUUGCAAAACUGCACGAAAAACGUAUCGCAUGUAACACACCCACGAAGAGGCUGCCCAUGACAACGGAAAUAAACCCUAGUACUGAAAUGUAUUAAAACUACAAAAAGACAAAGAGUACACAAAACAACAUUAAAUACUGAGUAACAAAACACCUACAAAACAAACAACAGAAAAGUAAACAG
rnacentral:lncRNA from 1 species